UAGGACGUAGAUGGGAUGGGUUGUGAA
rnacentral:sRNA from 1 species